CGGAAACCGAAUCAAAAACCAGCAGCGGCCGCAGCAGCGGGGAGGAGCGAGCCUCGUAUCGGGCCGCCCCGUACGCGCAUUCCACGUGGUCGCUACUCCCUCCGCCCCUCACUCCUCUCCGACGAAAACACCUGCGGGCUGCGGCCCUGCCCGCCCCGGCCAGAUUGCGCCCGACGGGGAUAGGCGUAGGUAUUAAAUCCGGGAGAUCGGAUUGGAAACAAAAUCGAAUCCCCAAAUCUGGGUUGCUCGCCCUGAUCGUCCCUGGGCUCGCGCGGCGUCGGCGUCGGCGGCGGCCAUGGGGGCGAUGGGUUGCCGUCGGGCCGCGGGGACCGUCGGCUGGCAGUACGUCUUCGAGGAUGAGGAGAACGAGCGCGAGGACGAGGACGCGCCGCUCGUGGAGGAGGAGGGGGCGGACGAGGACUGGGGGGUCGAGAUGGAGAGGAGGGGGACGAAGAGGAAGGGACCGCGCUCGUCGCGGCCGCGCAAGCAGCGGCGCGUCGCCACGCUCUUCGCCUCGCCGGCGUCGUCCGACUCCGGGCCCCCGUCGUCUAGCGCCGUGCCCAAGCGGCGGCGCGUCGCCAAGCUCUGCGCCUCGCCGGAGUCGUCCGACUCCGGGUCCCCGUCGUGGAGCGCCGUGCCCAAGAGGCGGCGCAGCGGAAACGGGGCCAAGAGGGGCCGCCCCGUCGCCGUCCCCGAGGAAACGGAGACGCCGAGCACCAGCGCCGCGGGCCGCGCCAAGGGGAGGAGGUCGUGCCACCAGUGCAAGGCGGCAAUGAAGCAGCAGAUGACCAAGUGUAAGCAAUGCCGCGAGAAGAUUUACUGCGGCCCCUGCAUCGAUGAUAUGUACCCGGAGUUGUCGUUGGCCGAGGUUAGAGUCAGCUGCCCGUCUUGCCGUGGAAUCUGCAAUUGUAAACGGUGCACUGCCAAGGAGCAGGGUGAACCCAAGAGUUCAGUUUUGAGGAAACGCAACGGCAGUAGAUCAGUAACGAAGAGAAAGAAGACUAACACCUCAGGUGUAAAGUCAACCAGGGUUUGUAAUGAGGUGCCACAGACCGAAGCAAAUGAUAACAACUUCCUAAGUUCCAAUGAGAUUAAUAGCACAUCGGUCAUAUUAGACAAGGUAGAUACGUUGGAUGCAAGAGCUGAUGAGAUUGCUCGUGAAACUAAAGUAAAACAUGCUAGAUAUCUGUUGCACUAUCUGGUGCCUUGUUUGAGUGACCUGAACAGGGAUCAGAUGGUUGAGACAAAAAUCGAGGCCAAAAUUCAAGGGUUGGAAUUGUCUGAACUGAGUGUUGAACAGGCUGACUGCCGGAAUGAUGAGAGGAUGUUCUGUGACAAUUGCAGAACUUCGAUCUUUGAUCUGCAUAGAAGCUGUCCAAACUGCUCAUAUGAAUUAUGCAUUGCGUGCUGUAAGGAGCUUCGUGAAAAUAAUCUAAAGGGCUCUUGUCGGGAAGAGCUGGUAUCUUAUCCUAAUAGAGGAAUCGACUAUAUGCAUGGUGGUGAUCCAUCACCUGAGUUGAUGAACUACAUACAAACAGGUUUGUCCAGUUGCCAGCCUAAGACUACCAAGUGGUGUGCUAAUACUGAUGGGACUAUUAAUUGCCCCCCACCUGAACUUGGUGGUUGUGGUGAUCAUGCCCUUAAGUUGAGACAGAUGUUUCCAAAAGAUUGGUUAAAUAAGCUUGAAAGCGAUGCUCUACAGUUGAGUAAGCAGCUAGAACCUUCUGAUAUUGUCAGCGGAUAUACACAUGAAUGCCCGUGCUGUACUAAACAUGAAAAUGCAAGACAUGCUGCCACCAGAAAUAAUUCAACGGAUAACUGCCUAUACUGUCCAAAAUCAGAUAAUGAGAAAGCAGAAGAUCUAACUCACUUCCAGAGUCACUGGGUUAAAGGAGAACCUGUUAUUGUGCAAGGGGUACUACAGAAAAUGCCACAUUUGAGCUGGGAGCCACCACAUAUGUGGUCUGAAGUACAUGGUGCUAGUACUACCCCUGAUAUGAAAAAUGUGAAGUGUAUUGAUUGUUUAUCUUGUUGUGAGGUCGAGAUACGCACACAGGAUUUCUUCAAUGGAUACUAUUAUGGUCGGGUGUAUCAAAAUGAAUGGCCCGAAAUGCUUAAAUUGAAGGACUGGCCUACUUCAAAUCAUUUUGAAGAGCUUUUGCCUUCGCAUGGAGUGGAAUACAUCAAUUCUUUACCCUUUCAACCGUACACAAAUUUGAAAUCUGGCUUGCUAAGUGUCUCCGCAUUGCUUCCUGAUGACAUUCUAAAGAUUGACAUGGGCCCAAAGUCAUACAUAGCUUAUGGCUAUGCGCAGGAACUUGGCAGAGGAGAUUCUGUUACGAAACUUCAUUGUGAUAUAUCUGAUGCAGUUAAUGUUUUGAUGCAUACUGCAAAAGUUGCCCCUUCUGAAAGACAAGAAAAUGCAAUAAAAAACUUGAAAGCAAGACAUGAGGUACAAGAUGAAAAGGACUGUUGUGGGAAUUUUGCAAUUGAUGGAAGUGAUCCAUGUCAUAAAAACUGUCUGGAUUCAAACCAUACAUCCUCUCCUAACUACAGCAAGGACGAUGAUGGAGGUGCUUUAUGGGAUAUUUUCAGGAGGGAGGAUGUUCCAAAACUGGAAACAUACCUUCGUAAACAUUCCAAGGAAUUUCGCCAUAUAUAUUGUUCUCCAGUUGAAAAGACAUUUAACCCUCUACAUGAUGAAACAUUCUAUCUAACUGAGGAACAUAAAAGGAGACUUAAAGAGGAGCAUGGAAUCGAGCCUUGGACAUUUGUACAAAAACUUGGAGAGGCGGUUUUUAUACCUGCUGGGUGCCCUCAUCAAGUACGGAAUCUCAAGUCUUGCACGAAAAUUGCUAUAGAUUUUGUAUCACCUGAGAAUGUCCAGGAGUGUGUUAAGUUAACUCAGCAAUUCCGCGUGCUUCCUAAGAACCACAGAGCAAAAGAAGAUAAAUUAGAGGUACUAAUUCAGCAACUCUCAAAGCUAUAGCUUCUCCCCGUUGGCCUUGCUUACACUACAGUAAGGUCACUUGGCUUGGAAAGCUAAGGCUAUUUCAGUGAUCCGUAGGUGAGGGGCUCUUGAUGAGGUCCACUUUCUCCCAAGGACCAGAUAACAACAAAGGAUUUCCUUGGAAUUGCAUUUCCUUUCGCAGCUCUCAUUUGCACCUCUCCGGAUAGGUGUCUUUUCUCAACACGUUCCUCUCUUAAACGCUGACAAGGUCUCUCUUACAGCCUCUGUCUUUGUUUUGUGAAACAUCAAAUACUGCAUCUACACAGCCAUAAUUGUUUGUCUUAACUAUUGGGCUCUCUAAUCCAUUCGCUCCCGCUUUCGUCUCAGUGUUGGUCCAGCAGAGUGUUUUCGCCAUUGGUGUUCUUUUCUAUCUCGAUGCAUUUCACCGCUCUAUCAAAAAUUCUCCCAGCUUCAGCCCUGGGAUUUCGCUGCGGACCUGAAAAGCCACAUACAAGUCUUGGUUUGCAUUUUCGUGAUUGUUCAGACAAUGGAUCAAAGUCCGUGUAGCUUCAAAUCACCUUCCUAACUAAUGGUUCACAUUAAGCCUUCCACUUGCAACUACUUCCCUCCCCCACAUUGAUCUUACGUAGUGAAGAUCUGGAGCUCGCCAGGGUCGUUAUUGGUGUCUAUGUUGGGUUUUCUGUGUUGGUUUUUCAAUUUUUAUGUGGCCCCUGCUUUCUUCUAAUUUUUCUAUGUUUUUUUCCUCUUCCGUUUUUUCUAUUUUUGUUUACUGCACGGUUUGUGCGCAUGUGCGGUUCAGUGUGUAAUCACUAAUUACAGGGAGUACAGGUGCACUGGUGCACUACACGGUGAGUACAUUUGCGUUGUGUGUGGGUGCUACUCCCUCCUGUUCUUAAAUAUAAGUCUUUUUAGAGAUUCCAAUAAAAACUACAUACGAAGCAAAAUAAGUAAAUCUAUACUUUAAAAUAUGUCUAUAUACAUUUGUAUAUAGUCUGUAUUAAAAUAUAUAUUUAGAAAUGGAGGAAGUAGAUGCGAAGUAUAAGGCCCUGCUUGGAAUCCCCGUAAAGUUAUACAAAGUAAUUACCCCUGUCUAUUACUCCUUCCGUUCCUUAAGUCUUUUAGAGAUUUCAACAUAAACUACAUACGGAGCAAAAUGAGUGAGUCUACACUCUAAAAUAUGUCUAUGUAUUUGUAUGUAGUCUAUUAAAAUCUCUAGAAAGAUUUAUAUUUAGAAACGGAGGAAGCACUGAAGAUAAGUAAAAUACAACCGGAUAUAAAAAUGGAGCCCAGGGCGCGCUUGGUUCUUAUUUCUCUAGUUUGGUCAGUGUCUCCCAUGCGCGUCGUUCACGGCUGGAACUCCAUGCACUCCAAGGCCGGCGGCUGGAACUUCCAUGUGGAGACUGGUUGAGGAAACACGGUAAAACACAAUGUUUGCAUGUUGUUUGAUCGAUGCAUGUUGUUUUUUUGCCUGCAUAUGGGGUCUUGUUAUCAUGAAAGCAAUUUUCACCCGAAUAUUUGGUUGCACACAUGAACAUAGAGAUUACAGUAGAACGCACACGCACAUUCGGCGAUCACAGGCAGGACGACUAUGACAAGGCAGGUAGACUACGACAGAGGGAACCACAGGCACGACUACUGGUCGACACCGGUGUACCAGCAGAGGUUAGGCACAAGGCCCACCACGGCGUCGCAACUAAAGCCAAACAAACCGACGCCGACAGCCACACCUAACUGCAGAACAAGACUGGCGGCGAGAUGUCAUCGAAGCUUCCCGCGUGCCACAAGAAGGUCGGCGACGACGCUGGCUACGGCGCACGCAACUGCUGAUCAUAGGGAGCACGCCACCAUGGAUUGCCUCCACGACCACUCUGACAAGGUGAAGAAGAUGAUAAUAUAUGCCGUUGAUCAUGCCGUGGAGAUUCUGAAGGAGCAUUGGCAUUCUUCCCCGUUGGCUUGCUGACAUUGUCAGGGAUUUCUGCGAUAGGACAAAUUGAUGACAACGGUGUUGAGUAAAAUGAAUAGUGUUGCCAAAAGCUCUCUGUAGAAAAUAGUUGAGCUCAGUGAAGAAAUAAAGUAUUAUUUUGUUGUUGUGAAUUAUAUUAUACAUGCACAGUGCAGUAAUAGUUCAAUCACCAGGGAUAGGAGCUAUGUAUC